AUACGGAGGGGGUUAGCGUUGUUCGGAAUUACUGGGCGUAAAGCGCACGUAGGCGGACUGGAAAGUUGGGGGUGAAAUCCCGGGGCUCAACCCCGGAACUGCCUCCAAAACUUCCAAUCUAGAGAUCGAGAGAGGUGAGUGGAAUUCCAAGUGUAGAGGUGAAAUUCGUAGAUAUUUGGAGGAACACCAGUGGCGAAGGCGGCUCACUGGCUCGAUACUGACGCUGAGGUGCGAAAGCGUGGGGAGCAAACAGGAUUAGAAACCCCUGAAGUCC
rnacentral:rRNA from 1 species